UACGUAGGGUGCGAGCGUUGUCCGGAAUUAUUGGGCGUAAAGAGCUCGUAGGCGGCUUGUCGCGUCGGAUGUGAAAGCCCUCGGCUCAACUGAGGAAGUGCACCCGAAACUGGCGAGCUUGAGUACGAAAGAGGAUCGCGGAAUUCCCAGUGUAGAGGUGAAAUUCGUAGAUAUCGGGAGGAACACCGGUGGCGAAGGCGGCGAUCUGGGUCGAUACUGACGCUGAGGUGCGAAAGCGUGGGGAGCAAACAGG
rnacentral:rRNA from 1 species